rnacentral:rRNA from 1 species
ACUCCUACGGGAGGCAGCAGUGGGGAAUAUUGGGCAAUGGGCGCAAGCCUGACCCAGCAACGCCGCGUGAAGGAAGAAGGCUUUCGGGUUGUAAACUUCUUUUCUCAGGGACGAAGAAAGUGACGGUACCUGAGGAAUAAGCCACGGCUAACUACGUGCCAGCAGCCGCGGUAAUACGUAGGUGGCAAGCGUUAUCCGGAUUUACUGGGUGUAAAGGGAGCGUAGACGGCAUAGCAAGUCUGAUGUGAAAGAUCGGGGCUCAACCCCGGGCCUGCAUUGGAAACUGUUAAGCUGGAGUACAGGAG